CAGUUUCCAUUUGGGUAGGACUAAUAAAGUGAAUGUGGGUAUCAAUUCCUCCAGCCGUAACAAUAUAACCAUGUCCGCCAUGAACUUCUGUCGAAGCUCCGAUGAUCAUACCAGGAGUAAUAUUAUCGGAAAUAUCAGGAUUCCCUGCUCUACCAACGCCAAUAAUUUUUCCAUCUUUAAUUCCGAUGUCUGCUUUUACAAUUCCCCAAUGGUCAAUAAUAGUAGCUCCCGUAAUAACAAAGUCAAGAACACCUCCGUCACGCAUAGCCGUUGAUGACUGACACAUACCAUCUCUUACUG
rnacentral:sRNA from 1 species